AUGAGGAAUAGAAAAAUACCUCUAGGAUAACUAGAUUACCCUGUAGAUGAUCACAGUAAUGCCCGAGGUUCUAAAAUAGCCAUGCAGUCACCUGGCUUCUACCGGUAUCCACUCAAGUAGGAUCUGGAUCAUCUUCUCCUCACAAAUCUCUGCUCCAAAAAUCAGAUUUGGAUUUGAUCUGAAAGAUCUUCAAAAGAUCUUCUGAAGUUGGAGCAGCAGCUUCUCGAUAAAUCCCUACAGCCUUC
rnacentral:lncRNA from 1 species